UACGUAGGGUGCGAGCGUUAAUCGGAAUUACUGGGCGUAAAGCGUGCGCAGGCGGUUUUGCAAGACAGAUGUGAAAUCCCCGGGCUCAACCUGGGAACUGCAUUUGUGACUGCAAGGCUAGAGUACGGCAGAGGGGGAUGGAAUUCCGCGUGUAGCAGUGAAAUGCGUAGAUAUGCGGAGGAACACCGAUGGCGAAGGCAAUCCCCUGGACCUGUACUGACGCUCAUGCACGAAAGCGUGGGGAGCAAACAGG
rnacentral:rRNA from 1 species